rnacentral:lncRNA from 1 species
CUAAGCAUAAGAAGAAAAACACACCAAAAACCAACUCUCUCUCAAGUCUCAUCCGAGAGCAAUCCAAGAGUUGGAAGAAAUAGAGAGUGAGAGAAAGAAGCUUCUGUGAAGCUUUAGUAAAUAGAGAGGGAGAAAGAUAGUUCAAAUAGAAGAGUGUUUUAUUUGGGUUCCAUCACAUAGUUAUUGUGGUGAAGUAAUUUGAGUUUGUACUCAAAUUAAGAUAUCUUUGUAUUCUCUCAUAUUAUUCUAGUGGAUUUUUCGGAGAUCGUCCCGUGGUUUUUACCUCUUAGUUUUAGAGGGUUUUCCACGUAAAAAUUCUUGGUGUCUCGUGGUUUGAUAAUCUUGGUGUCUCUUUGUUUGUUU